CAAAAUAUAUUUGUUUAAUUGUAAUAGUUUUGGAGCAGUUGGCGUUAACAACUGUAGCUGGUAUUAAAUGUAUACAGUGUGGAGACAGUGAAGAGACUUGUAGUACAACUCUUUGGGAAGAUGCUAAAGUAUGUCCCAAUAAAGAUCAAACCAAAUGCUUUACACAAAUUGGCAAACACCAGUGGCAUCAUUACAAGAGGCUGCAAAACAGACGCUGA